rnacentral:rRNA from 1 species
CCUACGGGGGGCUGCAGUGGGGAAUAUUGGACAAUGGGGGGAACCCUGAUCCAGCCAUGCCGCGUGUGUGAAGAAGGCCCUCGGGUUGUAAAGCACUUUCAGUGAGGAAGAACGCCUGGUGGUUAAUACCCAUCAGGAAAGACAUCACUCACAGAAGAAGCACCGGCUAACUCCGUGCCAGCAGCCGCGGUAAUACGGAGGGUGCGAGCGUUAAUCGGGAAUUACUGGGCGUAAAGCGCGCGUAGGUGGCUUGAUAAGCCGGUUGUGAAAGCCCCGGGCUCAACCUGGGAACGGCAUCCGGAACUGUCAAGCUAGAGUGCAGGAGAGGAAGGUAGAAUUCCCGGUGUAGCGGUGAAAUGCGUAGAGAUCGGGAGGAAUACCAGUGGCGAAGGCGGCCUUCUGGACUGACACUGACACUGAGGUGCGAAAGCGUGGGUAGCAAACAGGAUUAGAUACCCCAGUAGUC